GAGACUCAGUGAAAUUGAACUCGCUGUGAAGAUGCAGUGUACCCGCGGCAAGACGGAAAGACCCCGUGAACCUUUACUAUAGCUUGACACUGAACACUGGUCCUUGAUGUGUAGGAUAGGUGGGAGGCUUUGAAGUGUGGACGCCAGUCUGCAUGGAGCCAUCCUUGAAAUACCACCCUUUAAUGGCUGGUGUUCUAACGUAGACCCGUAAUCCGGGUUGCGGACAGUGUCUGGUGGGUAGUUUGACUGGGGCGGUCUCCUCCUAAAGAGUAACGGAGGAGCACGAAGGUUAGCUAAUCCUGGUCGGACAUCAGGAGGUUAGUGCAAAGGCAUAAGCUAGCUUGACUGCGAGAGUGACGGCUCGAGCAGGUGCGAAAGCAGGUCUUAGUGAUCCGGUGGUUCUGAAUGGAAGGGCCAUCGCUCAACGGAUAAAAGGUACUCCGGGGAUAACAGGCUGAUACCGCCCAAGAGUUCAUAUCGACGGCGGUGUUUGGCACCUCGAUGUCGGCUCAUCACAUCCUGGGGCUGAAGUAGGUCCCAAGGGUAUGGCUGUUCGCCAUUUAAAGUGGUACGCGAGCUGGGUUUAGAACGUCGUG
rnacentral:rRNA from 1 species